UACGUAGGGCGCAAGCGUUGUCCGGAAUUAUUGGGCGUAAAGAGCUCGUAGGCGGUUUGUCGCGUCUGCUGUGAAAACCUAAGGCUCAACCUUGGGCUUGCAGUGGGUACGGGCAGACUAGAGUGCGGUAGGGGUGACUGGAAUUCCUGGUGUAGCGGUGGAAUGCGCAGAUAUCAGGAGGAACACCGAUGGCGAAGGCAGGUCACUGGGCCGCAACUGACGCUGGAGGA
rnacentral:rRNA from 1 species